rnacentral:tRNA from 1 species
AGUUUUAUAUUCAUUUAUAAUGAUAUUAGAUUGCAAUUCUAAAGGAAUAACUAAAGUUAUUAAAACUU